rnacentral:rRNA from 1 species
GAUGAACGCUGGCGGCGUGCCUAAUACAUGCAAGUCGAGCGAACGGACGAGAAGCUUGCUUUUCUGAUGUUAGCGGCGGACGGGUGAGUAACACGUGGAUAACCUACCUAUAAGACUGGGAUAACUUCGGGAAACCGGAGCUAAUACCGGAUAAUAUUUUGAACCGCAUGGUUCAAAAGUGAAAGACGGUCUUGCUGUCACUUAUAGAUGGAUCCGCGCUGCAUUAGCUAGUUGGUAAGGUAACGGCUUACCAAGGCAACGAUGCAUAGCCGACCUGAGAGGGUGAUCGGCCACACUGGAACUGAGACACGGUCCAGACUCCUACGGGAGGCAGCAGUAGGGAAUCUUCCGCAAUGGGCGAAAGCCUGUCGGAGCAACGCCGCGUGAGUGAUGAAGGUCUUCGGAUCGUAAAACUCUGUUAUUAGGGAAGAACAUAUGUGUAAGUAACUGUGCACAUCUUGACGGUACCUAAUCAGAAAGCCACGGCUAACUACGUG